rnacentral:rRNA from 1 species
CUUACAAGGAUUCCCUUAGUAACGGCGAGCGAACUGGGAAAAGCCCAGCCUUAGAAUCGGAUGGUUGUGCCGUUCGAAUUGUAGUCUGGAGAAAUGUCCUCAGCGGCGGACCGGGCCCAAGUCCCAUGGAAAUGGGCGCCAGAGAGGGUGAGAGCCCCGUUGUGUCUGGACCCUGCCGCACCACGAGGUGUUGUCUAAGAGUCGGGUUGUUUGGGAAUGCAGCCCAAAUUGGGUGGUGAAUUCCGUCCAAGGCUAAAUACAGGCGAGAGUCCGAUAGUGAACAAGUACCGCGAGGGAAAGAUGAAAAGGACUUUGAAAAGAGAGUCAAAGAGUGCUUGAAAUUGUCGGGAGGGAAGCAGAUGGAGACCGGCGAUGUGCCCUGGUUGGAUGUGGAACGGUGUGAGCCGGUCUGCCGAUCAACUCAGGGUGUGGAUCAGUGAGGAUUUAGGUGGCGGUCGAAGCCCUGGCAUUUGUUUUGCCUGAGGAAUGCCGUCCCCUGGAUUGAGGGAAGUAGCGUGCGCCUUUGGCGUGCUUCGGCACCUGUGCGCUCUGGUUGCUGACCUGCGGGCUCUCCAUUUGACC